GCGCACGCAGGCGGUCUGCAAGGUCGGAUGUGAAAUCCCCGGGCUUAACCUGGGAACUGCAUUCGAAACUGGCAGGCUAGAGUCUCGUAGAGGGGGGUAGAAUUCCAGGUGUAGCGGUGAAAUGCGUAGAGAUCUGGAGGAAUACCGGUGGCGAAGGCGGCCCCCUGGACGAAGACUGACGCUCAGGUGCGAAAGCGUGGGGAGCAAACAGGAUUAGAUACCCUGGUAGUCCACGCCGUAAACGAUGUCGACUUGGAGGCUGUUCCCCUGAGGAGUGGCUUCCGGAGCUAACGCGUUAAGUCGACCGCCUGGGGAGUACGGCCGCAAGGUUAAAACUCAAAUGAAUUGACGGGGGCCCGCACAAGCGGUGGAGCAUGUGGUUUAAUUCGAUGCAACGCGAAGAACCUUACCUGGCCUUGACAUCCACGGAAUUCUGCAGAGAUGCGCCAGUGCCUUCGGGAACCGUGAGACAGGUGCUGCAUGGCUGUCGUCAGCUCGUGUUGUGAAAUGUUGGGUUAAGUCCCGCAACGAGCGCAACCCUUAUCCUUUGUUGCCAGCGAUUCGGUCGGGAACUCAAAGGAGACUGCCGGUGAUAAACCGGAGGAAGGUGGGGAUGACGUCAAGUCAUCAUGGUCCGUACGGCCAGGGCUACACACGUGCUACAAUGGCGCAUACAAAGAGAAGCGACCUCGCGAGAGCAAGCGGACCUCAUAAAGUGCGUCGUAGUCCGG
rnacentral:rRNA from 1 species